rnacentral:lncRNA from 1 species
CACCUCCUUUACCAACAGCUUCUGUAGGCUGUAUUUAUAUAUAUAUAUAUAUAUAUAUUUGUCCUUUCUGUGUAAAGCAGCAUGAUUCACAGAAAAAGGCUUUGUAGCUCCUGCUUGGUGACCUCUCCUGGUUCCUCACCUCCUGUUCUCUACUGAUCAGAGCUGUUGCUGAUUAGAUGCUCAGCAGAGGUGAUUGUGCAGCCUCUGACACCUCGCGUCCCCUGCUGCCUAGAUUUCAAAGAGGUAAUCAUUCCCAGAGACCUGCCACCGACCCUUUGCUCGAGCUUUUGUUGGUCACCUUUUGCUGUCUCUUUUCUUAAAGAGCUUGAAGUAUCUGGAUUUUUCUGCUAGGCAAAAAAGGACAUGCACUGAAAUCUUAAUGAUUUUACCAUUCUUUCAGAAUACUUUCACCUGAAACAAAAUUACGUAUUACCUUUAUAUCAAAUUAGUACGUUUUUGGAGUAAAACCUUCAGCUCCUAUUUAGAUGCCUUUUUUCUUUCUUUUUCCCCACUCAAAAACAUGGAGAUGCUGUGAGAUGGGAAGGUUGUUUGGUUCACUACCUGCCCCUUUUAACUCCAUAUACAUCUGCAGGCAUCAUUGCCAGGCAGCAUUACUCCUUCUGGAAGUUGAGCAGAAUGUCGAAAGGGCUUCAGUGCGGGCAAUGACACUGUUCACAGAUUUAACUGUGAAUACUGGAAACAAACAAGAAGGAGAAGAUCUGAACCCUCAGCCAACCUUAAAGAUCAGGAGAGAUCUUUUUGUUCUGGGGUUUACUGUAUGGUUCUUUCAAUGGAAACUUCUGAUGCUGACCAAUCAUCACUAGCCUAGUGUUUGGAGUAGGUCUAGCUAUUUUAUCUUUUUUUUUGCCAUGAAUUACAGGUAACACCCAGUUCCAUAAAGUCUGAGAAGAUAUUUUUGCACACUUUUCACAUUUUAUUCGAAUUCUUAUGAACAAAUAAAGAAAUCAGCAGAGACAAAAUAAACAUAAUUCAUAUUUAGAUUAUUUAAAUGACCAUGCUUUCUCCACAGAGUUAAAAUAGUACAUCAAAAAUCCUAAAUACUAUAUUAAAUCGACUGCAAACAAACAGAACACUGACUUUUAUAAUACUAAAAGCAAAAAGUCCUGUAACUCCCCAGAAGUGCCUUCAUAUGUCUUUGAUGAAUUCAUCUGAGAAAAGAGCUGAAAAUUGAUUUCCAAAAGCAUAAUAUACUUUUUUAUUUCAUUUUGCUUCAAUAAAUGAUACAUUAGAAAUAUUUCCUUUGGGUUCACGGUAAAUAGAUGAGGUAAUGAUUUAGUGGGUUUUUUUCCUUCUCUUCUUUUUUUCCCGUUUUCCAUUUUUCCUCUUUUCAUUUUCCUUUUUUUUUCUUUUUCCUUUCCCCCCCCUUUUCCUUUCCUAUUCUUUUCUUUUUCUUUUUUCCCUUAUCCCCCGUUUUUUUUUUUUUUCUCCUUUUCUUUGGAGUAAAGCAACUUCUGGAUUAUUUCACAUGCACUGACAACAUAAAUAGAAGCUGUUUUCCAGAUGAAGAAUUCUAUGUGGGAUAUGUUAAACGGUCUGCUAAGGACCAGCCUGAAUGCCUGAGGAUUUCUGAACAUCCAUCAGCACUCCAGGAUUUAUGGACUCCUGACUAUGCUCAGCCAAUGAUUAAGACUUCCAUAGCAUUUCUGUCCAUUGAAGGGACCCAUAGUGACUCCAGUGUUACGUACUCACCCCACAACAUCCCCCAGAGCCUCUCCAUGUCUGUGCUGAUUGCUUCCUCCAUGAUUAUUUGGGCAGUUGAUGUUGCUGAAUGUGAGCACCAACUGCUCUCUGGCCUAGGGACAAUGGUGGGACAGGCAGUGAUCACAGAAUCAUAUAAUCAUGAAGGUUGGAAAAGACCUUUAAGAUCACCUUGUCCAACUGUCCACUCACCACCAUUAAGUAAUGCAUUUCCUCCCUCAAACUUGGCCUUCUCCAUCUUCACGUUGUAAUGUAGCUGUUUAUGUGGUUCUCUCCUUGUCCAGUGUGUCUCUUUCAUUUGAUGGAAGUGGAAAGGUGAAGGUCCUUUUUGGGAAGAUGAAGGCCAUUUUGGGCUGUAUCUGGGAAAGCACCUGAGCUUUAGGUACACACUGCCCCUUCAGUCAGUAUGGCAACAUGGACCUAUGGCUUUGUUUGCCAGCAGCCCUCUACACUGAUGCACAGGUGAAGAACUGGUCCAACCCAUGGUGUUCAUCUCACCCUGACAUGGAUCACGUUGGUGUGAGUCAGCUGGGAAUGUCUCUCCAUGGUGAUGAAGAUCUCACCCCCAUCUUCUGUCAGCAGUACAGAAAGCUGUUGAUGCUGGUGCUUCUGCAGUUUCGGCAUUAGUACCAUAAGCUUGUUAAUUGUACAGGGCUGAUUGUUAUGUGUUCUUGUUGAAAACCUAGCAAGAGCCUUCCAAGUCAAGGCUCAAAAAGGUGAAAAGAAACUUCAUGGUUUCUUCUUGUUAGCCUUAGUCAAUACCAAAUUGAAGCUAGACUUGGGGUGGCUGAGGUUAUUUGUUUGUAUUGAACGUUUUCCUGGGUCUGACUGCUCAAACGUGCUGGGGACAGCUCGAGCUUUUCCGCUUGAAGUCAACAGGAGCACGUCUGGCCCUGCAGUCACUCCCCAGAGGGUGACACAGCGUAACUGUCCUCAGCAGGGGCAUUGCUGCAUGAACUUUGCUUGGCUGAAUUGGUGGGACUCAUGUUACAGUCUGCACUUGUCAUUUUUCUUUCUUACAUAAGCAGAAUGAGAGCAAAACCCUGGGAUAAGUGUUGUCAUAUCAGGCAUUGUCAGAGAGCACUUAGGUUUAAAGGUCAUCGUGUCAAUAUAGAUCAGAAACACCAAAAACUUAUCGUGGGAAAGAAGUAUCUUUUGUAUCUGCUGCUCCAAAUAGCUGGAAUUGAUUACAAGCCCAGAAGAAGGUUUCUGUCCUGAAUUUGGACAAUUUACGGUUCAGACUCUUUCCUUAUUUCUCCCUAUAGACAGACAGCUGUGUUUACUCAUUUUCCCCUAUUCAAAACAUGAAGUAGAAAUGGUUAGAGACUUUUUUUUUUCCUGAAAACUAUUUGCAUUAAUUUUCUGAAAAUGAACUUAUUUGCAAAAUGAAUAUUUGAUUCUCCUUUUCGGAUUUGCAUUUCUUUACUGUAUGCCGCUAGAACCACUUGGUGGAAAUACUCAGAGCCAGUGACUAUUUUUUGGACUGUGUUAGUCAAUCCACUGAAUUUAUUUUGCAGUUAAUUUAUUUAGUUCGUGACGAUUUUUAUUUUUUUUAAUUCCUACUGUCUGCAAAUUAUGUGGCUUAAAAACAGAUGAAGAAAGCAAGCAGAGGACAAUCAUUAGUGGAAAGGGAAAAUGGUAGGGUUUGAAGUAGUCCCAGCUAUUUGGCCACUGUGCAUCAUUCACAGAAUCACAGAAUGAUUUGAGUUGGAAGAGUCCUUAAGUACCAUCUGAUUCCAACCUGCCCUUUUAUGGGCAGGGUCUAGCCCACUACUUCCCACUAGACCUGUUGCCCAAAACCCCAUCCAACCUGUCCUUCAGUAGGUGGGGCGUCUACAGUUUCUUUGGACAGCCUGUUCUGAU